CCUACGGGAGGCAGCAGUGGGGAAUCUUGGACAAUGGGGGCAACCCUGAUCCAGCGACGCCGCGUGACCGAGGAAGGCCCUCGGGUCGUAAAGGUCUUUCAGCGGGGACUAUGGUGAAGGUACCCGCAGAAGCAGGAGCGGCUAACUACGUGCCAGCAGCCGCGGUAAUACGUAGGCUCCAAGCGUUGUUCGGAAUCACUGGGCGUAAAGCGAGCGCAGGCGGCGCGCCGUGCCGGUCGUGAAAUCUCCCGGCUCAACCGGGAGGGGGCGGCCGGGACUGGCGGGCUAGAGUGCGGCAGGGGAAGGCAGAAUUCCUGGUGUAGCGGUGGAAUGCGUAGAGAUCAGGAGGAAUGCCGGAGGUGAAGACGGCCUUCCGGGCCGCCACUGACGCUGAGGCUCGAAAGCGUGGGGAGCGAACAGGAUUAGAUACCCUGGUAGUCCACGCCCUAAACGAUGCAUACUUGGUGUGGGCCCUUCAGUGGGUCCGUGCCGGAGCGAACGCGUUAAGUAUGCCGCCUGGGGAGUACGGUCGCAAGGCUGAAACUCAAAUGAAUUGACGG
rnacentral:rRNA from 1 species